AAACAUUCGAAAUCCUUUACCCCGUUUCAUACACAGUGAUUUGGUUCAUGGAUAUUUAUCUCUGUGAUGAAGGGUUUAGCUUUUAUGUGAUGUAGGCGAUGGCAGAUGGUUUGGAAUCUUGUUUUCAACAUUUUCCAUAUGGAGAAGAAUUUACAUACCUGCACAUGGACAACAGGAAUGGUAUCUGGUGCAUUCUAAAGGCCAGCAUAGAGAAAUAGGAUUUACUUAAAUGGAAGCGAUCUCACAAAGUUCGGUCCUGUCUGAGAUCUGUGGAAGGAUUUUAGCCGACAACCCAUUGAGUGCGUUCGUCAGAGAUCAUGCGAAGGACAGGGAGAUGAAAGUUCAAGUUGGCAAGCCCACAAUGAUGGCUCUCUCAGAUAGAACCCUAAACGCAUCCAGCUAAAAGGACUUGAUGCAAAAAUGCUCUGUGACUUGUCUGACCAGAUUGACCUUUUUGUUUUAACACCAGUGUAUGUUCCAAACCAACAGUGCCAAGACCCUUAUAUAAGUGAAACAAUCACUUGAUGUCAAUAUGCUGAUAUGUAAUCUUUAUAAACUUAAUUUAAGGUUUGAGAAUGAUCCUGCCACUGAGCUCAUGAAACCAGUCUCACUGUUUUAUUGACAAUUAUUUAUGUAAUAGUUAGAUGACAGGAAGUGAAUUCUUAAUGAUUAAGAAUGGGCGGAGUGUGGUGAGCGUAGCCAAAGAAUCCUUAAUUAUUAAGAAUUCACUUCGUGUCAUCUAGCUGACUAAGAAUACAACCUCAUUGGCUGACACAUAGUCGACGCAAUAUAUGAUGCUGGGAGUGUGUAUCUGAUGAUUGGCAGUAGGUAAAUCUUUAAACACACGCGAAAGUUGAACAUCUUAAUGAUUAAGUCUGCUACUUACUAAUUGGAUGCCUGUCUGCAAUCUCAUAUAUAUAUAUCUUCUGUGAGGUAAGUGAAAAUGUAGGUUGUAUUCUAAUCAAUAGUAACAACUUCAUAUAUAUUGAUUUCAAGUGAUACACUUCAGUUUUAGCAAUGAGUGAUAAAAGGGUGCUACACCCUGUAUUUUGUUAAUAGCACUCCUUUGCAAUAAUGGUGACCAAUAAAUGAUUAUGAAUACAUACUAUCUUAAUGAAUCUGGCAGUUGAAGUCAAAACUAUUUGAAUUGAACACAUUCAUAAUGUUGUUUUUCAAAAUGAUGAUAUUUAUGUUCUUCACAGCCUGAUACAAUGUACCUUUUAAUAGCAACAUUUCCAUUUUUCUAUAGAGUCUUCCUUUUUCUAAACUUGGCUAAGCCUUAUAAAGAAUUUUAGCUUGAACUUUUGCCUAUGAAUAAGCAUCGACAAUAUAAUUUGUCAGGUCCUAUGUUGAAAAUUGAAUAUUUCUUGAAAAUUCAUGACUUGUACAAUGCUAAGUAGUAAGUCUGUUUGAAAUUGUUUUCGUUUUUAUAAAUGAGCCCAUUUAUUAACUGGUCUAAUUAUACAAUAGUAUAAAUGAUGCAGUAUGUAUUUUCAAUUUAAAGUAUAUUUACCUCCAUUUCUUGUUUUACGAGCAAUUAACUAUUGUAUAAACCUCGCAUUUUUUUUCUUUUAAUAAUAAUUUAGAAUGGAUUUGAAAUUGUGUUCAUGUUGUUGUUGUUAUAAUUUGGGGAAAUGUGUAUAUUUGAGUGAUGCAUAAUUUACUGUAUAUUUGAAUACAAGUGUUUU